GUACACGCUGUGACUAGCAUAUCAAUAAGCGGAGGAAAAGAAACUAACAAGGAUUCCCCUAGUAACGGCGAGUGAAGCGGGAAGAGCUCAAAUUUGAAAUCUUAAAGGGUUUCCCUUUACGAAUUGUAGUUUAAAGAAGUGUUUUCUGUUGAGGUUUUGGUAAAAGUUCUUUGGAAUAGGACAUCAUAGAGGGUGAGAAUCCCGUAUUUGACCUUUACUUUCAACUUUGUGAUACACUUUCAAAGAGUCGGAUUGUUUGGGAAUGCAGUCCAAAAUGGGUGGUAAAUUUCAUCUAAAGCUAAAUAUUGGCGAGAGACCGAUAGCGAACAAGUACCGUGAGGGAAAGAUGAAAAGAACUUUGAAAAGAGAGUUAAACAGUACGUGAAAUUGUCAAAAGGGAAGCGUUUGACACCAGUGUUGUUUUUCUGAAAAUCAAUUAAAGAACUGUUUAUGCUAAGUUGUUUAGACUUUAUCAGCUAUCUGCUUAGUUUUGAGCUUUUCUUUAAUGCACUUUUCAGUUAACAAGUCAACAUCAAUUUCUUUUGCUGUAAAAAAGCUUGAGGAAGGUGGCUUGAGAUUCGUCUUAAGUGUUUAUAGCCUCUUGCCUAUGCAGUCGGAGAGAUUGAGGUCUGCAGCGUAGAUCCUUCGGGGCUAAAUGCAUUUGUGCUAAGUUAUAGCAUUUCAUAGACAACUUGUUGACUAUGAUUUGUCUUGUAGCUUACUCGCUUAUGUUAUUUUACCUACGCUUAGGAUGUUGACGAGACUGUCGAUCUC
rnacentral:rRNA from 1 species